UACGUAGGUGGCAAGCGUUUGUCCGGAUUUAUUGGGUUUAAAGGGUGCGUAGGCGGCCUUGUAAGUCAGUGGUGAAAUACUCCAGCUUAACUGGAGGGGUGCCAUGAUACUGCAGGGCUUGAGUACAGAUGAGGUAGGCGGAAUUGACGGUGUAGCGGUGAAAUGCAUAGAUAUCGUCAAGAACACCGAUAGCGGAAGGCAGCUUACUGGGCUGUAACUGACGCUGAGGCACGAAAGUGUGGGGAUCAAACAGG
rnacentral:rRNA from 1 species